UGGGGGAUAUUGCACAAUGGGCGAAAGCCUGAUGCAGCGACGCCGCGUGGGGGAUGAAGGCUUUCGGGUUGUAAACCUCUUUCGCUAUCGAACAAGGCCCGCUUAGGGUGGGUUGAGGGUAGGUGGAGAAGAAGCGCCGGCUAACUACGUGCCAGCAGCCGCGGUAAUACGUAGGGCGCGAGCGUUGUCCGGAAUUAUUGGGCGUAAAGGGCUUGUAGGCGGCUUGUUGCGCCUGCUGUGAAAACACGGGGCUUAACUUCGCGCGUGCAGUGGGUACGGGCAGGCUUGAGUGUGGUAGGGGUGACUGGAAUUCCAGGUGUAGCGGUGGAAUGCGCAGAUAUCUGGAGGAACACCGAUGGCGAAGGCAGGUCACUGGGCCAUUACUGACGCUGAGGAGCGAAAGCAUGGGUAGCGAACAG
rnacentral:rRNA from 1 species